CCCAUUUGUUCAGCACUUGGACGGAGAUGCCAGCAGCUUCCAGGCAGAGGGAGAAUCGAAGGUUUGUCUUCACUUGACUUCUCGCUCACACCAUCUGGCUGAUGGAGAAUCCUUUCAUUUCUUCCCGUGGCUGGACCAAAGGGAGAAUGACUGUGAAUAGAAGUGCCUUUUCAACCUUCACUUGUAUCCAUUUUUAAAAGGACAAAUAAGCAUUAUUCACAAUAGCAAGAUGUGGGAACAACUCAAGUGUUAAUCAACAGAUGAGUGGAUAAAGAAAAUGUGCUAUACAUGUACAGUGUGAUAUUAUUCAGCUUUACAAAGGAAGGAAAUCCUGCCAUUUAUGGACAAUGUGGAUGAACCUGGAGGACAUUAUGCUAAGCAAAAUAAGCCAGUACCAAAGGCAAGUUCAAACUCAGAAGGCGAAAGUCCAGCGGAAAGUACCGGAACUGAGGGAAAACUAUUUGCCUAACCACCCACACCACUGAAUGCUUUCUUGGAAUCUGCUGUGUGUUUAAGAUGAUAUCCUACCCACACACAUGUAACCUUUACCUUUUUGCAAACCAAAUCUGAUUCUACAAGGAAAGCACAAAAAUAAAAAUAUUUUUCUCUCAAAUUAUA
ensembl:lncRNA novel transcript, sense intronic to AHR